UGGGGAAUAUUGCACAAUGGAGGGAACUCUGAUGCAGCGACGCCGCGUGAACGAAGAAUGCUUUCGAGUCGUAAAGUUCUUUUAUAUGGGAAGAUAAUGACGGUACCAUAAGAAAAAGCCCCGGCUAACUACGUGCCAGCAGCCGCGGUAAUACGUAGGGGGCUAGCGUUGUCCGGAAUCACUGGGCGUAAAGGGUUCGCAGGCGGAAAUGCAAGUCAGGUGUAAAAGGCAGUAGCUUAACUACUGUAAGCAUUUGAAACUGCAUAUCUUGAGAAGAGUAGAGGUAAGUGGAAUUUUUAGUGUAGCGGUGAAAUGCGUAGAUAUUAAAAAGAAUACCGGUGGCGAAGACGGCUUACUGGGCUCAUUCUGACGCUGAGGAACGAAAGCGUGGGUAGCAAACAGG
rnacentral:rRNA from 1 species